rnacentral:rRNA from 1 species
CAGCUCUCCGAGUGGUAGGGAUGAUUAUUGGGCUUAAAGCGUCCGUAGCCUGCUUAGCAAGUCUCCUGUUAAAUUCAGCGACCUAAUCGUUGAGCCGCGGGAGAUACUACUAGGCUAGGAGGCGGGAGAGGUCGACGGUACUUCUGGGGUAGGGGUGAAAUCCUAUAAUCCCGGGAGGACCACCAGUGGCGAAGGCUGUCGACUAGAACGCGCUCGACGGUGAGGGACGAAAGCUGGGGGAGCGAACCGGAUUAGAUACCCGCGUAGUCC